rnacentral:rRNA from 1 species
AUUGAACGCUGGCGGCAGGCCUAACACAUGCAAGUCGAGCGGAUGAAGGGAGCUUGCUCCUGGAUUCAGCGGCGGACGGGUGAGUAAUGCCUAGGAAUCUGCCUGGUAGUGGGGGAUAACGUCCGGAAACGGGCGCUAAUACCGCAUACGUCCUGAGGGAGAAAGUGGGAGAUCUUCGGACCUCACGCUAUCAGAUGAGCCUAGGUCGGAUUAGCUAGUUGGUGGGGUAAAGGCCUACCAAGGCGACGAUCCGUAACUGGUCUGAGAGGAUGAUCAGUCACACUGGGACUGAGACACGGUCCAGACUCCUACGGGAGGCAGCAGUGGGGAAUAUUGGACAAUGGGCGAAAGCCUGAUCCAGCCAUGCCGCGUGUGUGAAGAAGGUCUUCGGAUUGUAAAGCACUUUAAGUUGGGAGGAAGGGCAGUAAGUUAAUACCUUGCUGUUUUGACGUUACCAACAGAAUAAGCACCGGCUAACUUCGUG